rnacentral:lncRNA from 1 species
AUGGUCGACGCAUCAGGAGGAACAGGAGAGAUAGAUGGGCGGCUUGAUGCCUGAUCGAGAGUGGGUGCAGCAUUUCCAUAUAUAUGAACGUAACUGUGAUCAGGACUACCAUGUACUACCAUCAAUCAUCGACGGAUGCACAUGUAUGAACCGUUUUACUAUUGGUCUAUCAGUGCUGGCUUGUGGGCUAAAUUAAACCCGGUCCUGAUCUUAGCGAGCUGUACUGUGCUUAUAGUACGGUGCACUGAUCUGGAUCCUUGAUGGCAGUGAUGGGAUGGCGAUAUUAUCCUAAUGAAUAAGGUGAUGAAAAAAUAAAGAGG